rnacentral:rRNA from 1 species
UAGUGAGUUUGAUCCUGGCUCAGGACGAACGCUGGCGGCGUGCCUAAGUACAUGCAAGUCGAGCGCAGGAAGCUCACGGAACUCUUCGGAGGGAAGUGAAGGGAAUGAGCGGCGGACGGGUGAGUAACACGUAAGGAACCUGCCCCAAGGAUUGGGAUAGCUCCGAGAAAUCGGAGCUAAUACCGAAUAGUUCUUCAGACCACAUGGUCUGAUGAUGAAAGGCGCUUCGGCGUCACCUUGGGAUGGCCUUGCGGUGCAUUAGCUAGUUGUGGGGUAAUGGCCCACCAAGGCGACGAUGCAUAGCCGACCUGAGAGGGUGAUCGGCCAC